rnacentral:snRNA from 7 species
CUACUGACACGGCAGGAGAAAUACCAUGAUUAAGCAAAACAUUUUUUCUUGGACCAGUCUCUCCAUAGAAUUCUGGGUGUGCAGAACCCUGUUAUUUACCUAAAUGUGGGAAACUCAACUGUGUAAUGAGAGGUAGUAGGUGACUACAUUCCCAUUUUAUCCUG